rnacentral:rRNA from 1 species
AGCCAUAAUUCUAGUUCAACUACACCCCACACCACAAGUUAUAAUAAACUAAAACAUUACCUAACUUUAGUAAAGGCGAUAGAACAAAAAAUAGGAACAAUAAAUAAAGUACCGCAAGGGAACGAUGAAAUAGAAAUGAAAAAACUCAUUAAAGCACAAAAAAGCAAAGACCCCCCCUUGUACCUUUUGCAUCAUGGUCUAACAAGUCAAUCCAAGCAAAAAGAAUUUCAGCUUGUUCCCCCGAAACUAAGCGAGCUACUCCUGGACAGCUCCGAGAGCAAACCCGUCUCUGUGGCAAAAGAGUGGAAAGAUCCACGAGUAGUGGUGAUAGACCUAACGAGCUUAGUGAUAGCUGGUUGCCCGAGAAAAGAACAUAAAUUCUGCCUUAAAACUCAGACACCAUCAAAGUGCACCCCAGCUUUAAGAGUUAUUCAAACGAGGUACAGCUCGUUUGAAACAGGAAACAACCUAACACCUAGGUAAAGAUUAUACUUUUUAAGGUCUUGACAAAGUUGGCCUAAAAGCAGCCACCUUGUAAGAAAGCGUCACAGCUCAAACAAACUACCACACUAAUACCUAUAACUUCUUCUUACCCUACCAAACUAUCGAGCCCAUUUAUAUUAUUAUAAAAAAGUUUAUGUUAGAACUAGUAACAAGAAACGAACUUCUCUUAAUGCAAGUGUACAUCAGAUUGAACCAAUCACUGAUAAUUACCGGCCCAUCGCUAAGGGGAAUGUAACAACCCUUCAAGAAAACCAUACACAAACAACCGUUAAACUUACACAAGAGCAUCUCAAGAAAGAUUAAAAGGUGCGGAAGGAACUCGGCAAACACGAACUUCGCCUGUUUACCAAAACAUCG